GACGGAAGGUGCAAGCGUUGCUCGGAAUCACUGGGCGUAAAGGGUGCGUAGGCGGCUUGGUAAGUUGGGUGUGAAAGCCCCGGGCUCAGCCCGGGAAGGGCACUCGAAACUGCCGAGCUAGAGUGCCGGAGGGGAGAGUGGAAUUCCUGGUGUAGCGGUGAAAUGCGUAGAUAUCAGGAGGAACACCAGCGGCGAAGGCGGUGCUCUGGGCCGGAACUGACGCUGAGGAGCGAAAGCGUGGGGAGCGAACAGG
rnacentral:rRNA from 1 species